rnacentral:rRNA from 1 species
GACAGAGGUGCCGAGCGUUAGGCGGAAUCACUGGGCUUAAAGCGUGUGUAGGCGGGCGGCCAAGUACCUUGUGAAAUCCCACGGCUCAACCGUGGAACUGCUGGGUAUACUGGUCGUCUUGAGCCAAUCAGGGGCGAGCGGAACAGACGGUGGAGCGGUGAAAUGCGUAGAGAUCGGGAGGAAGGCCGGUGGCGAAGGCGGCGCUCUGGAACAUUUCUGACGCUGAGGUGCGAAAGCGUGGGGAGCAAACAGG